rnacentral:rRNA from 1 species
AUUGAACGCUGGCGGUAUGCCUUACACAUGCAAGUCGAACGGCAGCACGGGUGCUUGCACCUGGUGGCGAGUGGCGAACGGGUGAGUAAUACAUCGGAACAUGUCCUGUAGUGGGGGAUAGCCCGGCGAAAGCCGGAUUAAUACCGCAUACGAUCUACGGAUGACAGCGGGGGACCUUCGGGCCUCGCGCUAUAGGGUUGGCCGAUGGCUGAUUAGCUAGUUGGUGGGGUAAAGGCCUACCAAGGCGACGAUCAGUAGCUGGUCUGAGAGGACGACCAGCCACACUGGGACUGAGACACGGCCCAGACUCCUACGGGAGGCAGCAGUGGGGAAUUUUGGACAAUGGGCGAAAGCCUGAUCCAGCAAUGCCGCGUGUGUGAAGAAGGCCUUCGGGUUGUAAAGCACUUUUGUCCGGAAAGAAAUCCUUGGCCCUAAUACGGUCGGGGGAUGACGGUACCGGAAGAAUAAGCACCGGCUAACUACGUG